CUUAGCCGCAUGAUAACGUCUACUUACUUACCUAUUUAGUUAGUUUACCUUUUAAUACUAAAUAACGCGGUAAAACCAGCACAAUAACAGAUGAAGUCACACCUUUGAGUAGUGUGGUUGUGUGUCUUCACUACGCAAGCAAGAAUAGUGUUUUCUUAAUUAUAUAUAAAUAAUUACAAAUCGUCCGUAGAAAACGGAUAACGUUUAGACCUUAAGUACAGUGCAAGAAAAAUGUAAACACAGGUCUGAACUAUAGGAUUUACCAAUUUAAAAGGUGGAUAGAUUGAAAGGAUUUUUGCAAACGUUACUGAACUGUGAGUAGUACUUAGUUGAAGAUUUUUGUGCAUUUACUUAUUGAACGAAUUGAAAAAGUUAAUGAAAAGUGUCGAUUGAGAAGAAAAAGGGAAAAAGUCAAGAUUUCUCGUGUUUCCUAGGCUGGGAAAAGUACCUAAAUAGGUUUUGAACACUGAACACCUUGAAGUGAAUAACUUGUGAAAUUGUGAUGAUAUUUGUGUAAAAAGUGUUUUGCGAAUAACUUUUAUAAUAAGUACCUUAUUCAAGAAAGGAGAUUUUAAUCUAGAAACUAUGUGUUGUUCGUGCAGAUGUGACUGUGGGUCCUGUGGGAAGAUACUGAGGUGUCUCUUCUGUGUGACUCUAUGUGUGUUUCUGAUGAAGAUGUGUGGUGUUGAGGUUGACGACGGCUGCUGUGGAUGUGAAGAGGAUUAAGUCACAAUUUACAAUGUAGUAACCCAGUAAAAGGAUACAUGAUAAUGAAGGAUUUUCCAGGCUACGUUCGUCAAAAAGAAAAUAUGUAUGGCGCUGUAAAAAAAUGCCUUCAUUAGAUAACAGACAUGUGCAUAUUUUAACAGUAAGACUAGGGCCCUGUGCUGGGAGGUUUUCUGGCCAUGUCUUUCUCUCAGCGUUACAGAUUCCAAUGUGGUAGUAGUUUUUUUUACAGCUAGUUACAUAAUAUGUAAUUUAAUUUUUUGACGUUCAAAAAGCGCUAACUUUGUAAGCCAAUUUUGAAAAAUAGAUAUUUUUUUUUUUGAUUCUUUGCUUUUGGGUAUAAAUGAUAACACUUUUUAUUACACCCAGACACAUCUUCCACCCAUUAUUAUUUUGAUCAAAAUAAAGAGAAGCAAUAUAGGUAGCAACGUAAUUCUAUACAUAAUAAAUACAUAAACUCACGCCCGGAAUCCCUAAUGGGGCGGGCAGAGCCACAAGUAAUCAAAGACAACUUGCAGCCACUGUUGAUACGAUGUCGUAAGCUGGAUAUGAUGAACCUUAUGGUAUCAGCCUAUCGCUCAUAACAUUAGUCCAUCAUUUUAGAGGACACAAUCCCCCUGUCGGUUUUUACGACAUGCCCGGGAAGACAAGCAGCUAUACAUAAUCAGAUCCAAAUACUUAUCAAGCAACAAUUAUUUUUGUAUCUGCUUCUGUCAUUAUAUUAUAUUUUUGAAUAAUUAUGUACUUACCCGAGUAAUCAGAAAAUAAGUAACACGUUAAAUCUGAACAGCGCCAUCUAUAUCAUCUGGAAUGUCCUUCAUUAUGAUUACGGCGAUAUGAAAGUGCUGAGGGUGCGAAUAUGUAUAAGUAAUGUUUGAAUAUGUAGGCACCUUCAGGUUCAUUAUUUAUACAAAUAC